CCGCGGUAAGACGAAGGGGGCUAGCGUUGUUCGGAAUUACUGGGCGUAAAGGGCGCGUAGGCGGUCUUGUCAGUCAGGCGUGAAAGCCCUGGGUUCAACCUGGGAGGUGCGCUUGAUACUGCAAGGCUUGAGUGCAGGAGAGGAUGGUGGAAUUCCCAGUGUAGAGGUGAAAUUCGUAGAUAUUGGGAAGAACACCGGUGGCGAAGGCGGCCAUCUGGACUGCAACUGACGCUGAGGCGCGAAAGCGUGGGGAGCAAACAGG
rnacentral:rRNA from 1 species